rnacentral:rRNA from 1 species
GACGUAGGGCGCAAGCGUUGUCCGGAUUUAUUGGGCGUAAAGAGCUCGUAGGCGGCUCGUUGCGUCGGCUGUGAAAACCCGGAGCUCAACUCCGGGCCUGCAGUCGAUACGGGCGGACUUGAGUGUUGCAGGGGAGACUGGAAUUCCUGGUGUAGCGGUGAAAUGCGCAGAUAUCAGGAGGAACACCGGUGGCGAAGGCGGGUCUCUGGGCCGAUACUGACGCUGAGGAGCGAAAGCGUGGGGAGCGAACAGG